GUGCUGUAGUGACCAUCCAAAGAAAAUUAAGAAAAACAGACCAAAGAAAAGUCAAGAAAAACUGAAGGUUUUACACAUUUUACAAGGUUCAUAUUUAUUUUCACUUUCCUUCUCUUCUUUUAAAACAAACAUUGGGUAGAACAUUGGGGGUGAUGCAAAGUCCAGCAUAGGUUUAAAGGGGAUAGGGGGUCAGGUGUGAGAGGGGGUUCAGGAGCUGAUAGUAACAAGGUUGAAUUGUGAAACAGGGACGUCACAAGCACAGGUGUAACCCUACACGACCGUUGAGAACAUUACGUGAACAUGUAGCCAGCUAUACAAGGGGUUCAUUGAGACAGGCCUCUCCCAGCAAGAACCAAAGGACUAUCCCCGAAAUGAAAUACAUCAAGCAGGGUCACAAAGUCAAACACCCAACCGAGGAACACUGAAACAUGUCAUUUAUUCUCAUGUCAGGUAAAACAACAUUCUGUUUCGGAUGUGCACAUAAAGGUAGUCGUACUCUGGAAAAUGGGGAUUAGAGGGUUAGGAGGUUUGACUACAGAACUAUAGAAGACAAUGCCCUAUACAUGCCAGUUAAGGUGGAGUUAAAUCAGUUUUAACUUCCACAGUAAUAUCCCAGUGUUUUCUUCCAUCGAAAGGUGUGGGAACAGUAGUGUCAGUCUGUCUUGCCUGGCCGUCUUGGUCGUCGUAGCAGAGACAGAAAGCACAGCCAUUCAUUCGGAAUGAUCUGAACAUUUAGAUAGAAAAGUAGGGGGAUGGGUUGGGCUUGGUGUGAUAUGUACAUAUUGACUUUUCAUGGGCAGGGUACAUGGGUUGGGGCUAGUUGUACAGAUGAACAGAGCGAGGGGCUUGAUCAGGGUGGGGUCACACUAUCUAGUCAGUAUUUACAGGUAAGAGGAGCAUAUAAAAAUGUACAAGGUUCCUCCUCUCUCAAAGCGUGUCCAAAAAACAGAACGAAAAAAGUAUACCUUUUACCUAUGGUGCUCAUUCAGUUGGGUGCAACAUACUGUAUAUAGACCAUCGAAGAUUUUAAUGCAUAGAGCUAAAAUGGUAAAUAUGACAG
ensembl:lncRNA